CUGAAACAUUCUAUUUUCCCUUUUGUCGCUAACAACAAGAACAGCAGCCCGAGCCUGGCACCCUCCAAGCCCAGCAUCUCAGGCGGUCGCCUGCCCCUAAAUCUGGCCCUGUCUAUACAGACUAACACGGCUGCUACUCUGAAACCUGGAAGGGGGAGCCAUGCACAGCAACCUGGCCGAAGGGCCAGGUGUCAAAGAAGAAGCACCUUGGAGUUGCAGAGACCGGUGGACAAAUCCCCAGAGGAGGCAGCUGCACCAGGAAGGAGCUAAUCCCCAGAGCAGCCAGGAGGAGGCACCACUGGCACAGAGAAAGGCAGAACACUAUCCAGUGGACAGAAAGGCAGAACACUAUCCAGUGGACAGAAAGGCAGAACACAAUCCAGAUCUGCGGGUAGUGAUCGAUCUAGGGGGGUUCGAUUUAUCGCGUCGAGUGUAGAUGCAAUAAAAUUGAUCGCUCUGCUGUUGACUCCGGAACUCCACCGCAGCGAGAGGCAGAAGCGGAGUUGAUGGGGGAGCACCAGCGGUUGACUCACCGCCAUCCUCACAGCCAGCUGCAACAGGAUAUCCAUUGUAAUAUCCACCUUGGAAACGAGAGUGGUGUAAUUAAAACCGCUACUUAGCCUCAGACACAAUGGAGGUUUCCAAGAUGAAGUGCACAU